UACGAAGGGGGCGAGCGUUGUUCGGAAUUACUGGGCGUAAAGGGCGCGUAGGCGGCGAACCAAGUCAGAUGUGAAAGUCCUGGGCUUAACCUGGGGACUGCAUUUGAUACUGGUUUGCUUGAAUUCGGGAGAGGAUAGCGGAAUUCCCAGUGUAGAGGUGAAAUGCGUAGAUAUUGGGAGGAACACCAGUGGCGAAGGCGGCUCACUGGACCGGAACUGACGCUGAGGCGCGAAAGCGUGGGGAGCAAACAGG
rnacentral:rRNA from 1 species